GCGGGCUCUUGGGAAGUGUAGGAAGUGAGCAAAUGAUCAACAGGUUUCCUCAAAAUUCCUUCUGCUUAAACAAGGUCCCUCUAAGAAAGCCCACCUAGGGGCUGGGGGUAAACAGAAAUGCAGACUCAAGCUAAUGGCAUAUUAAUUACCCUUAGGUUACUCUAGGUCAUUUUCUAAAUAUUAAUAUGCCUGGGCUGAGGAAUUCCUAGACUGACAAAGCAUUCCUUCCUUCCCCAGGUGUGGCAGUUCCUCAGGAUAUGAUUGAGGGUGGGGCAACACCAAAAUGGAGUGCCCACCCUUAUUCUUCUUCCCAGGUGAAACAAUUGCUCUAAAUAGCACCAAAACAAGGAACCCUUGUGCGGAGAAGAGCAGAAGAUCCUAUCUACCUAACAAUUCUACCUUGAAUCUACUUGAAAUUACUGCUCUGCAGUCAGGAGUUACUACAAUAUAUUGCUUCUCAAAAGUGAUGACACAUUGGAUAGACAGAUGAUCUAAAUAAAGCUUUUCUUAUUGAGAAUUGUGACAUUGCAUUUUUUUCAAAGAGGUAGAAAAGGAAAAAUCUGACCUGGUAUGUAUAUGGGCUCUUUUUCUUUUGAGCAUGUAAUCUUCAAUGUACUCCUUUAGUGUAACCAUUCCCAUGAUUAAAACAAAACAAACACUAAAUUGAUAAAUGACCCAUCAAACUCCACCAAACACACAUAUACAUAUACACACAUAUGCACAUACGCAAAUAUACACAUGAGAGAGAGAGAGAGAGAGAGAGAGAGAGAGAUAAAGCUAAAGGGAGAGAAAGAGAAGCCCUAGGAAUUUGGCGUGAAGUAUUAGUAAAGUGCUUUGCACGGAGCAAACAUUCAACAACACUUUCUAGACAGAUAUCAAUUAAAUGAAGGGGAGUUUGCAAUUUCCACUUUUUCUUACUAGACUCUGAAGUUUUAUUUCACUGAAAAUUCA
rnacentral:lncRNA from 1 species